CUCUAUAAAUGGUACACUCAGGUCUUCGCGUUGCAGUUCUAAAACAUGCAUCGUGUUGCGUUAUUUAUUGUUGCCACAGGCUUCAUUGUCUGUGUUCGGACGGCUCCGGAGCACCGACGGCCGACGGAGGAUACAGCUAAACCAGAGAACACGCUGUAUUCCGACAAAAGUGGCGAGAACGACGUCAGCGCUUCUGAAGUAAUUGAAAACUUCGAAUCCGAACUUAUAAAGACUGGUCCCGUUGUCAAGAAAAAUCCAAAGAAUGAUGUUGAAAAAGGGUUGGUGAGCGACUUGAUAAACUCGACUUUGGGCGGUUUGCAGUUCGAUGUCCAUUUGGGUUCAGCUAAUAGCACCGCGGACCGUCUGUGCAUUAAGAUAGGCGGCGUCAACUUGGCAGGAUGUAGGCACUCGUGAUAUUGACGAACGAAGAUUCCAGAAAAAAACGGUUAAUACAGAAAACUAGGAAGAACAGAAUUAAUUAAUUGACUUUUACAAAUUCUGAGAUAAAUGAGUUUUAGAAUU